AUUACCGAGUGAGGGCCCUCUGGGUCCACCUCCCACCCGUGUUUAUUUUACCUUGUUGCUUCGGCGGGCCCGCCUUAACUGGCCGCCGGGGGGCUCACGCCCCCGGGCCCGCGCCCGCCGAAGACACCCUCGAACUCUGUCUGAAGAUUGAAGUCUGAGUGAAAAUAUAAAUUAUUUAAAACUUUCAACAACGGAUCUCUUGGUUCCGGCAUCGAUGAAGAACGCAGCGAAAUGCGAUACGUAAUGUGAAUUGCAAAUUCAGUGAAUCAUCGAGUCUUUGAACGCACAUUGCGCCCCCUGGUAUUCCGGGGGGCAUGCCUGUCCGAGCGUCAUUGCUGCCCUCAAGCCCGGCUUGUGUGUUGGGCCCCGUCCUCCGAUUUCCGGGGGACGGGCCCGAAAGGCAGCGGCGGCACCGCGUCCGGUCCUCGAGCGUAUGGGGCUUUGUCACCCGCUCUGUAGGCCCGGCCGGCGCUUGCCGAUCAACCCAAAUUUUUAUCCAGGUUGACCUCGGAUCACGUAGGGAUACCCGCUG
rnacentral:rRNA from 1 species